UUCGCAAUGCCCGAAAGGGUGACGAAGCGACGCCGCGUGUGGGAAGAAGGCCUUCGGGUUGUAAACCACUGUCGGGAGUUAAGAAAUGCAAGGAUAUUAAUAGUGUCUUUGUUUGACUAAGGCUCCGGAGGAAGCCACGGCUAACUCUGUGCCAGCAGCCGCGGUAAUACAGAGGCGGCAAGCGUUGUUCGGAAUUAUUGGGCGUAAAGAGCACGUAGGCGGCUAUGUAAGUCGGUUGUGAAAGCCUUCCGCUCAACGGAAGAACAGCAUCCGAUACUACAUGGCUUGAGUGCGGGAGGGGAGAGUGGAACUUCUGGUGGAGCGGUGAAAUGCGUAGAUAUCAGAAGGAACGCCGGCGGCGAAAGCGGCUCUCUGGCCCAUAACUGACGCUGAGUGUGCGAAAGCUAGGGGAGCAAACGGGAUUAGAUACCCUGGUAGUCCUAGCCGUAAACGAUGGGCACUAAGUAGAGGGGUUUU
rnacentral:rRNA from 1 species